rnacentral:rRNA from 1 species
CUUCCAGACUCCUACGGGAGGCAGCAGUGGGGGAUAUUGCACAAUGGGGGAAACCCUGAUGCAGCGACGCCGCGUGGGCGAAGAAGUAUUUCGGUAUGUAAAGCCCUAUCAGCAGGGAAGAAGAAAUGACGGUACCUGAGUAAGAAGCCCCGGCUAACUACGUGCCAGCAGCCGCGGUAAUACGUAGGGGGCAAGCGUUAUCCGGAUUUACUGGGUGUAAAGGGAGCGUAGACGGCGAAGAAAGUCUGAAGUGAAAGCCCGCGGCUUAACCGCGGAACUGCUUUGGAAACUUUUUUGCUGGAGUACCGGAGAGGUAAGCGGAAUUCCUAGUGUAGCGGUGAAAUGCGUAGAUAUUAGGAGGAAUACCAGUGGCGAAGGCGGCUUACUGGACGGUAACUGACGUUGAGGCUCGAAAGCGUGGGGAGCAAACAGGAUUAGAUACCCGUGUA